rnacentral:lncRNA from 1 species
AUGCAGCUCACUGUGAUCCUAUGUUCUCGUAGAUUCGGGGAUUCCAGAGCUGGGAGUAGAACAUGGAGACUGGUUUGCCAGAGAGCCUCCAUGAGUUCGGUAUCAUUUCCUCUCCCCAGAGAACAAAGCAUGAGGAGGGGUUGCUUAGGCAGACACAUCUGUAUUCCCUGUGGAGCACCAGAAAACCAGCUCCCCCAAGCUCCUUCCUUGGCCUGUCUUUUCCACUGUGUUCCCUCAUUCUUUCCCAAUUUCAUCGACACCGUCUACACUGACCUGCUGACCAUCCCAUCAACAAAGAAUGUGGAUUCUGAGGUUGGACAGACUUUGGUUCAAAUUCUGGCUGCUGUGCUGAUUGUUAUUUAUGUGAUGU